UACAGAGGAUGCGAGUGUUAUCCGGAAUUAUUGGGCGUAAAGCGUUUGUAGGUGGAUUCUUAAGUCUUUUGUUAAAUCUCUAAGCUUAACUUAGAACAUGCAAAAGAGACUAUUUAUCUGGAGUAUAGUAGAGGAAAAGGGAAUUUUCAGUGGAGCGGUGAAAUGUGUUGAUAUUGAAAGGAACAUCGAAGGCGAAGGCACUUUUCUGGGCUAUUACUGACACUGAGAAACGAAAGCUAGGGGAGCAAAC
rnacentral:rRNA from 1 species